AACAAGACUAACAUUGGAUUUCCACAGCUCUUUCGGCAGUGGGCUGGAAAGUGCUAUUAAAACAUGGCUGUUUCAUAAUUUCCCUAUUGGAAAUGCGGUCUCACUACGUUGCCCAGGCUGGUCUUGAAUUCCUGGUCUCAAGCAGUCCUCCCACCUAAGCCUCCCAAAGUGCUGGGAUUACAGAAAAUGGUAAACAAGGGAAAGAAAGAGGAGUUCCAGACCCUGCAUACCAAAAUAUUACAGACACACAGGAAAUGACUCUUCAAAUCCAGGCUGUAAACCUGUCAUUUCGUGGGCUUGUCUGUGGGCCUAGAAAAGCGAGACAAAGAUCACACCGAAGACAUUACUGUUUGGGGCUGGCUGUACUGGAGGACCUCUGGAGGCCUUUCCAUGCCAGGUGCUAUGAUUCUAAACUCAAGUCAUAAAAUGAAAUGUUAGAGGAAAGCCAAUGAAAUUUGAGGCAGAACUUGUGGCUUAAAGCUCAUUUUGCUUUAAAAAAUGUAGACUUUGAAAAACUGUUCUUUACAAGCAACAAAAAUUUUUUAAAGAAACUGAAAAGCUAAAAAAUAUUUUUUGGGGGGAGGGAGUAAUAUUCUCAGCCCUAUUACUAUCUUUUAAGGCUUUCGAUUACAGAUACUCCAAACAUGUAAUAAGUUACUAAGUCCUUAAAAUAUGUAUUAAUCUUCCUAAAAGAUUUGCAUAUUGACUUUAAUCCACGUAAAAGAUGUUUCUGGUGUAUUUAACCAAUGCUGCUCGUCUGUUUAGUGAAAUGGUUUUGGAUCCAUUAAUUCUCCAAAUAUUUGUAUUCUGAGUGCCUUCUAAGGAUAAGACAUUCUUUGAAUCAAACACACACAAAGAACUAAGCCAAUCUAAUGGUUAAUGCAGUCAUUCCUCCCUCCUCCAGCUUAAUGUACUGGCCCCGGAGCCAGAAUGCCUGGGUUUCCCAGCUCCAGUGCCUUGAACAAAUUACAUAACCUCUCUGUACCAGUUCUCUCCCCUGAAAAGUAGGGUUAGUAAUAGCACCUACCUCAUCAAACUAAAUGACUCAAUACAUGUAAAGCAUGUAGAAAAAUGCCUGGCACAUAGCAAGCAUUCAAUAAAUGUUGGCUAUUCAUUUUGUGCCCAGUAUGAGGGAAAGCAAUGUAGAGGUGGAUAUGGAGAUAAAUAAAACAAAGUGCAUUAAAGAGGGAAUAUUUCAACUGGUUCUUGGAGAAAAUACGGAGUUCACAAGGAAGACAAAAAAGGGCCAAGUCAAGCAAAUGGUGUGAGUGAAGGCACAGAACCACGAAACUAAAUAGCAUAUCUGGGGAAUUGUAAAUGAUUCAUUAGAGCUAGAUUAAGAGGCAUGUGACAUAUGCUGCCUCCAUCCAAAAGCAAAGAUUUUAAAAAAGAGAGAGAAAAAAUAGAGGCACAUGGGAAUGAGGGAGUAGAAACCACAGGAUUUACUGACCAAACCUAUGUGAUA